GAGGGACUGGUCUGAAAAUUAAAAUAAAAUAAAAUAACCCUCACAUACAUUGAUCUUUUUAUUUUAUAAAAUAAUCGAUUUAUUUAAUUUUAAGGUUACCUAUUCGAACUGAUGAUAGAACUAUCCCAAUCCCCAUCUCAAACCUUCAGACUGAAAAUUAGCAUUUAUUUGCUUUUUUCUUCAGUAACCUAAUUUCCCCAAACACAAAUGUUUUCUAUCUGUAUGCACUCCCCUCUCUGUGUAUCAAGUACCAUAUUGCCUCUAGAAUAAAUUACUGACUGAGCUAGACACCAGGAAAGAAUACCCUUUUGUGCCAUUUCACUGCAAGGGAUUUCUAGGCCUGAAUAUGCCUCUUUGUUGUACAAUGGUGAGCUAAAGUUGCCACAAUUAAUUUUGUGUUGAAGCUGACCUAAUCCACAGUGGGUUAAUGAAAGGAAAAGUGAUCAAAAAGCAGGUAAAAACGGUGGUUCCCAAACAUGACAAAAGACCUCAGCUUUUACUGUGGUAUCGUCCCUUCUCUACUAAAACCAGCUAGAUUCUGACAGAACAAAGGUAGUAGGAUAUUGAUUAAUGUUAGCAUCCUAAAUGUUAUCUCUCUAGUCAAAGUUGUCUGUCCAAGCUAUGUUUUGUGGAGAGGAAUGGAGGCAGAGGAGGGCCUCUGGUUUGCAGAGGAUGUCCAUACUCCAGGUGUCUUAAUGGACACAUACAUGAGGAUGAAUCUCCCUUUGCAAGAUGAUGAAAGAAGACAAGGCUUCUCUUCCAAGAUGAUGUUCUAACUGCAGUACUCUGUGGGUGAUCAUUUACUGAGACUCCAAGUGACUUCUCACACCAGAAGAGUAGCAAAAACCCUUAUUAUCUGGGUAAGUCAGUCUACUUCUUUAGAUCUGUUUUGAGGUGACAAUAAUUUUGUCGUAUAGGUACUGCUUCCACCCUACCCCAGUAAUUAGAUUACACUACAAAACCCAGAUAACUUCAGUUGGGUGUGGUAGCAUUCCUGUCCCUAUUUGGAUUCACAGCCCUGAUGAGCUAUGCAGUGCCGGUAACAGACCAAGGGCCAGAAAUGGGGACUUCAUCAUCCUGGGUGAGAAUUCUAAGCACUGAGCCAUUAUACAUGUAUUGCAGCACUGAGCUUAUCCACACCACAGCCAUAAACUGAAACUGUCAUUGCAUGUCUGGCCAACUCACAACAUGACAGAGGAAAUGUCAUUUGGGCCAGCAGCACUGGGAUCUCUAACUUCUGUGAAAGACAGCAGAUUUCUUUCUGCUAUCACCCUAAAAUCUCACCUGAAAUAAAAUUAGUUUAUUAGAAUAUAAUUUAUGUGCU
rnacentral:lncRNA from 1 species